UCUUUUUAGCUGACGGUAUCAUCAGUUGAUUUGAUUGACCUGUUGCCGAUAUUUCUUCUUAUGGUAUCUUUGCUUAUGAGAUUUUUCUUCACCUAUAUGUCGUGAGUAUCGGGCCAGUCAUCUGGGUAAUUGUACUUGAGCUGUGACUUAACUUUGUUGCUCGAUGCUGGUUUUAGAUGUCACUGGUCUUCAAUGACCAGUAAACUGAUUGCUUCAUACUUUUUCGUGGGUUUGAUAGUGCAGGGAUCCUUCAUUGCAUUUAAACCUUAGCAAAGAAAGUUCUCAAGCCAAAUAAAUAAAUUAUGUCUGACUUAUUUGCUAUGUAAGCGAACCCGAAAUAUUGAUGUUAAUCUAGUCUAUCUGCAACCAGUCCUAAUAUACAGCUCAUAGCAACACGUGGUACCUCACCAUAUGCGGAAAAGCUUGGCCAAAAUGAAAUAGGCAAACUAAGAAUCAAAUUUUUGGGCAAGCAUUUUGGCCUAUAACAUGGCACCAUGAGUUGUUAUGGCCUAUGUGUGAGGAUUAACUACAUCAACAUUCUCAGUCCCUUGGAAUGAAAAAAGACACAAAAAUCAAGUGAAAAAUACUCGUUAAUUCUGAUCUGACAAGAGGGAUCAUAUCUUGGUUUGUACGAGGCCCAAGAGUGCCAGUGUAUAUUUGGGGAAUGCAAUCGUCUUGCUAUAUCUGGCAAACUUCAAUAUGUUAUCUCUUUUUUCUUUAAGUGGAACCAUACAACUUUAGAUGAGGAAAUGAAAUAAGCCAUAAAGAUUUCCUGGUAUAGGCUUAGUCUUACACUGGUAUCCUACAGUGUACCUUUAGCUAUGCAGCCAUCACUCACUUAGGGUAUUUGACUCACUUGGUUGUUUCUUUUGCUACAGAUGAGCACGCGUGAUUCAGAACAUGGACAUAUCAUUGAAGUGUGUGGAGAUGAGCCAGCCAUGGAAAUAAGCCAGGUUGGUAGUAAGGUGUGCGCAGAGGCACCUUGUGAUUUUUCAGACGCUAGAAAUAGUUCGAAAGAUGCAAGAGAGAGGUCAACCUCUAUGAAGAAAUUUUUGAUUGCGGUUGUGCUUUGUAUUAUCUUCAUGAGCGUAGAAGUAGUUGGUGGUAUUGAAGCCAACAGUCUUGCCAUUCUCACAGAUGCAGCGCAUCUGCUGUCGGAUGUUGCCGCAUUUGCAAUAUCCUUAUUCUCUCUUUGGGCAUCAAGUUGGGAGGCAACUCCACGCCAGUCUUAUGGUUUCUUCCGAAUUGAAAUUCUUGGUGCACUUGUCUCCAUCCAGAUUAUAUGGCUACUUGCUGGGAUUCUCGUGUAUGAAGCAAUGGAAAGACUUAUCAACGGUACAACUGAAGUUCAUGGCUUUCUCAUGUUCAUUGUUGCUGCCUUUGGUCUUCUUGUGAAUAUUGCCAUGGCACUGUUACUGGGUCACGAUCACAGCCAUGGUCAUGGACAUAGUCAUGGGCAUGAUGAUGCGCAUGAACACAGUGCUCAUGCUCAUAGCAACGAGGAUGAUGGUGAUUUGCAUACUCAUGGAUUAACCAUCAGGAAACAUGACCAUCAUCAUCAUGGAGAAGAUUCUAAAGGACAUCCCGAUCAACAUCAUGACCAUGAAACAGGUCAAACUGAGCCGCUUUUGCAGACUUGCUCGGAAGCUGAAGGUAACUCAAAACCUGGAACCAAAGAGAAGAAGCAACGUAAUGUUAACAUACAAGGUGCUUAUCUUCAUGUACUUGGGGAUUCCAUUCAAAGUGUGGGUGUGAUGAUUGGGGGUGCAAUUAUAUGGAUUAAGCCCGAGUGGAAAAUUGUCGACUUGAUUUGCACACUGAUAUUCUCAGUAAUUGUGCUUUGGACAACAAUAAGGAUGCUCCGUAACAUUCUAGAGGUUUUGAUGGAGAGUACGCCUAGAGAGAUUGAUGCCACUAGGCUCGAGAGUGGACUUCGCGAGAUGGAUGAAGUGAUUGCAGUCCAUGAACUACACAUUUGGGCUAUAACGGUUGGAAAGGUGCUUUUAGCUUGCCAUGUCAAAAUAAAGCAUGACGCCAAUGCAGAUAUGGUUCUGGACAAGGUCGUGGACUACAUCAGAAGAGAGUACAAGAUAAGUCACGUCACCAUUCAAGUAGAAAGAGAGUAGAUUUCGAAAGGUAAACGAUUUGGUUAUGGCAUCAUACAUGGAUGAUAAUGUUAGGGUCACAUUUUAGCUUCUAAUUUAUUUGGAUGUUGCCGUUUCGGCCUUUUUCUCUUAGCUGGGCCUAUGAUGUAAUGUGCGCUUCUCCUUUGUUAGGAUCUUAUGUUUAAGAGCUCUUUUAUCCAAUAAUACCAGUUUCUCCAACAAAAAGAUAAUAAUAAAAAAAAAAACACUGGAAAAGUCGGGAAACAACUUCUCAAGAACAAUUUUCCUUCAAAUAAGUGGACCGUAUAUGUAGAUGAAGAGAGUGCAAAUCCCGUAGACAGGCGACGUGGCAACAUACGGGAUGCCAAACACCCCGAAGGGUCCCUAUCGAGAAGCCAUUCCUCGCUUGUGGGCUCGUAGCUCGAUUUUGCUUGAAGCAAGAGGCAGCUGGAACAGGGAAAAAGAAAGCGAAAGGUAUUCGAGGCCCAGGAAAGCGACAAAUGGGUUGUAUUGGGAGCCCAUUUGGCGUCGAGUUCGGGAUUGCACGUGAGCACAGUUGUACUUGUUAGGUCACAUCUCAUUUUAUAUUAGACCGAUAACCGUCUUGAUACGACGAUUUACCCCGACCCAUCACAAAUUGCGUAUGAAACUACGGUAUUUUGCCCGCACCCGACAGCCGCGAGGGAGCAAUUAUGUAGGUUCUAUCGUGGGAAUGGGCUGAGCCAUUGGGGCCUCUAGAGAAGAGAUCCAACCCAACAUUUCUCCAUAUUGAACUUUAAGGGCCUCCGUUCAAUUCGUGAUGAUCAUGUGAUUUGUAAAAGUGGCAGUAUUAAUUUUUUUUUCUUAUGAAACAGAAUUAGCAUCAAAUUUAUAUGUCGUAUAAUUUGUAUAAAAAAAUAUUGUCAAUGCCUAAAAUUUUCCCUUUCCAUAAAAAAUUAGAGAUUAGUUUCUAAAAAAAAGAAAAGUAAAAUGAAUAAUUUUCAUUAAAAUGCACCGUGCAUGUUUUCAUUAAAAUGCAUUGUGUAUAUUUUCAUUAAAAUGCAUUGCACAUAGACAUUAGGACCAUUUACAUUACUAUCAUUAAUUAUUAAUUUAAAAAAAAAUCAAUAAAAAAUCAAGAAUUAAAAAAAAAAAAGGACCGGGCUAGGCUCGGUCCUUUUCUGUUCUUCUCUCCUCUGUAUCUCUUUUCUCCUGGGCCCAAGCCCAACCUCAUUUCCUUUCUCCAGGCCUAGCGGCGCGUGGGUUUUCUUCCUCCAUACGCCGUCACGCCUCUGCAAGGAAAUGAGGAGUACAACAAGUCAGAGAGAGGCAGAGGAUCGCGAGCUGCGGAUGGCGGCCUGAUCUGCGGGUCGGGGUCAGGCCGGCCAGCGAGCUGGCGGUGGCAGAAGCCAAGCCCGCCGGUUGCUGGCCGUUAAAAGCAGAGAGGCCGAGAGAAAGAGAGGGGGUUGUUGGCCAAGAGAGGGAGCGACAGGCAGAGGGCGAGCUCGUGAGAGUCCCGGACCGUCGCCGGAGGCCCGCCGUUCGUCGGAGCAGCUCUUUCCGAACCAGAAUCGUGUAUCAUCGAGUAGGCGCGGUUUUAUUCGUUCCGGCAAGUGGAUUAAUGGCCGCCGAAGUUCAUGGCCGGCGGUGUAUGUGCCGUUGGUUUGGGUGAGCUUUCGAUGAGGAAGCAAGGUCUCGGUGAAGGAGAAGCAUCGGGGAAGAGGGUUCGAGCGAGGGCAGAAAGGGAGAGAGAGAGAGAGAGGCUCCGGUGGCCACCGCGCCGCGCACGAAUUCCGUCCGACGACCAGGCCCAGCCGACGUCCUCAAGCCUAGCGGUGAAGGAACCCGGCUUUUCGCUUUGGGCAGAGGUCGAAGAGGAAGACGAGACCGCAAAUCCGGAAAGCUCUUCGCUUUCUGAUCGAACCUCGACACGCGCUCGUGCCCAAGAUCGCUCGCAAAGAUCCGGAGUCGAAGACGUAGGAGGCGCGACGGAUGGUGGUGGUUCGAAGCAGGUGAGGGCGAGCUUUCUAGGGGGCUGCGGUGGUUCUUCGGACAGGGGGAUUCUACUUCUUCUUCUUCUUCUUCGGCUAAAAAGGAAACGGAGAGAACAAUGGGAGAAGGAGAGAAUGAGAGGAAAAGAGGGAGACUUUAUGCUUUCAAUGGCGAUUCCAACGCUCCAAGGCAAGAGCACCCGAGACUAAAGCGAAAAGGGAAUGUCUGCUCUGCUCUCCGAACUUUUCGAUCCCUCCAUCGGACAGCUUCAACCCAUGAAACCUCCAUUUUUGCUAGCGUUUCCCAGUGGGGACAAAUUCGUCUCGACCCGUGAAACUACACUGAGCGAUGCCGCCCGUGCUCGCGUUCUCGGGGUACUCCUGCUGAUGAGCUUGAACCCUCACGAAUCGCUCGACAUUGACCCACGAGACGAGGCCGUGCUUUUGCUGUUCGGGUCUCGCGCGCCGGCCCCGGAGCCAGAGCUUGUUGCGCUUGAUUGGGGUUCGACUGCACGAACUGGAUGCAAGGCAACCAUAUGCUCCGCCGGCUCGUCUCAAUGUGGCGAAGGAGCUCCUGAACGGCCAGCGGGUGGUGGUGGCGGUCCAGUGAUGGAGGUUCCCGGCCUGCUGUCGAAGAAGAAUCAUCUGCGUUUCCUGCUGUUCCAGCAGGAGAACCGCAGCUAAGUCCUCUCUGCCCUCUUUGGUUUUCGAGUUUUGUACAAUUAUAACACAUACCACCCUCGACUCUAUUCAUCAUAAAAUGACGGUCCCAUAGGCCAUAGUGUUUGUCGUUUUGUUUCUCUUUCGUCGUUCUCUACUUAAUUUUAGUGUUAAUGCUUAGAAAAAUUCCAAAUUGAUGCUUCAAUUAUAAAUUUAUCUUAAACUAAUUUUUUAUCAUAAAAAAUCCUAAACUGGUACGUAAUGAAUUUACUCCAAAUAAUCAUAAAAACCCUCAAACUGAUACAUUUAUGAUAAAUAUAUCAUCCGUUAAAUUGGAUUAAUGCCACGGAAAACCAUAAAAAAUGGUACAAAUAUGACAUACAAAGUAAAAUCCCAAAUAAGUAUAUCGAUCAAUUGUUAGAUGUCAUCCAAUUUAGUAAUUUGACAGCAAAAUUUAAUAAAAACUAAAGUAAAUUUAUUAUAAAUGUAUCAAUUUAGAGUAAAUUUGUCAAACGUAUACUAAUUUAAGGUUUUUGGUAGUUAAAAAAUUAGUUUGAGAUAAAUUUAUUAUGUGUAUAUUAGUUAAUUAAUGUGCCAACUCAGUCGUUUGUCGUAUUAAUCCUUAAUUUUAUUAUGUUUCUAGGUGGGCAAUCUUUUUCAUGUCAUUUUUCAAUUCGAACCAAUUGGCACAUUUCUUAAAAAAUUAGUUCGAGACAAAUUUAUUAUGUGUAUAUUAGUCUAUUAAUGUGCCAACUCAGCCGUCUGUCGUAUUAACCCUUAAUUUUAUUAUGUUUCUAGGUGGGCAAUCAUUUUCAUGUCAUUUUUCAAUUCCAACUGAUCGGCACAUUUCUCCUACUAGUCAAAUUAUACUAAGUUUGUCACUCAUUAGUUUAAGAAUGAGGCUCUGCCUCCUGGAGAGGCUCUUAGGGUGUCUUGGCGACCGUUGCCGCCUCUCCGAUCGAUAGCGGAGCUAGUGAUUUCGCCGAUCCACGACAGUGAGCGCGCUCACGCCCUUCGCGGACACGCUCAUCUCUUCCGAAACAGCUGCUCUUUCCAAAAAAAAGAAAAAUCAUACUAAGUUUCAAUCACAUCGAAACAAUCGUAAUAUGUUGAAUAGCAAAUAUCCCAAAAUAAAAUGAUUUAAUAGCACAAAAAACUUCAAAUCAGUUCAUUUGUGAUCAAUUUAUCAUAAAUUAAAUUUUUUGACUAGCCAAAACCCUAAAUAGAUACAAUUGGGACAAAUUUAUCUUACCAAAAAUUUUAAAAUGGCAUAUUUAUAACAAAUUUGCUUUUCAUCAUUUUCUAUUAGAUUGGAUUAAUAUUACGAAAAAAAACCUCAAAUUAAUACAUUCGUCAAUUAUCACAUAUAAUUUAAUUCAUAAAUUUAAUGAUAAAAAUGUAACGAAUAAUAAAUUUGUUACAUUUAUAUUAGUAGGAAUUUAUGAUGAUGAAAAAAUUAAUUUGGAUUAAAUUUAUUACAAUCAUAUGGAUUUAGGACUUUCGUGAUAUUGACUUGAUAAAAAUAUUGCAAAAAAAUAUGUUUUGGUUGUGAGUUGGCAAGCAAUGACUGUGCAUGCAUUAAACUUGGGUAAUGAUCUGACAGGGGCAGGGACCGCAUGAUGAUAUACUUAAACCAAAUUAGAUUUAAAAAGAGAGGAAUUUUUAAUUUGUUUUUGCUCUUUCUAUUUUGGGAAUUUUAAUCGAGGACGCCAAACUCCCUCCCAAACCUCGGUUAUAAGAGGGAGAAGAGUCGAAGCUUGGGACGGAAGGAGAUGAAGACGAGGGAGACCUAGUCGGAGCGCAAACGCCUCCGCCCCGAAAAGCACCGGCGGCCGCGUCGAUCUCUCCAUCUCCGGAGCUCAGUCCGGAGCGGCACGGUCUGUUGUUUUUCUCCCAUUCGCCUUCACUUCGGUGUUUUUUUUUUUUUUUUCCUUUCUUUUAUCUUUUUCUCUUUUGGGUUCGGAUCGUGGUUUGAUGCUGUAAAGAAUUUGGCUCGAGCUGAUAAAAGGGUUUUGUUGGAGGGUUUCUUUUUUUAUUUUAUUUCUUUUUGUUGAUGUGAUUAUGUGGGAAUUCGAGGGUGACUUCGAGUGUUGACUUGAUGAUGAGCUUUUCGAGAUAUUGGAUUCGAUGCAGUGUGCGAGUGAAUUUUGCUGAUUAUGAGCCAGGGGAGCUGCUUUCACUGGCUUAGAGUCUGGUUGUAACUGAAUUAAGAAUUACGCUACUGGGAACUUGAUGGGUGUGGGCUUUCUUGGCUUUGAAGAAGAUGAUGAGUCCGUUUUGCUUGUAUUACAGAGGCCUAAUGCUUGCAGAGUGUCGCUGAGCCUCCUUGUUUUGGCCUCUUUUAGAUUUUUUUGGGUGCGAAUGUUCAGGUGUGAUUGUGUAAUUCUAUUUUUGGUUUGGGGAUUCGGCUGUCCUUAGCCUUUUAUGACAAAGAUCUGUCAUCCGUGCAUGUUUGUAGUGUUCUGUCAUAAGUUGACUUGUAUGGCAUAUCUCCUUGGUCCUUAGGACUUGUGCGUUUAUCCUCCUUUUAGCUGACAGUAUCAUUAGUUGAUUUGAUUGACCUGUUGCCGAUAUUUCUUCUUAUGGUAUCUUUGCUUAUGAGAUUUUUCUUCACCUAUAUGUCGUGAGUAUCGGGCCAGUCAUCUGGGUAAUUGUACUUGAGCUGUGACUUAACUUUGUUGCUCGAUGCUGGUUUUAGAUGUCCCUGGUCUUCAAUGACCAAUAAAUUGAUUGCUUCAUACUUUUUCGUGGGUUUGAUAGGGCAGGGAUCCUUCAUUGCAUUUAAACCUUAGCGAAGAAAGUGUAUUUCUCAG
rnacentral:lncRNA from 1 species